UACGUAGGGUGCAAGCGUUGUCCGGAAUUAUUGGGCGUAAAGAGCGUGUAGGCGGCCCGACCAGUCCGCUGUGAAAGUCCAGGGCUCAACCCUGGAAUGCCGGUGGAUACUGUCGGGCUAGAGUCCGGAAUGGGCGAGUGGAAUUCCUGGUGUAGCGGUGAAAUGCGCAGAUAUCAGGAGGAACACCGAUGGCGAAGGCAGUGGGCUGGGCCGGCACUGACGCUGAGGAGCGAAAGCGUGGGGAGCGAACAGG
rnacentral:rRNA from 1 species